rnacentral:rRNA from 1 species
UUGACCUCAAAUCGGGUGAGACUACCCGCUGAACUUAAGCAUAUCAAUAAGCGGAGGAAAAGAAACUAACGAGGAUUCCCCUAGUAACUGCGAGUGAAGCGGGAAAAGCUCAAAUUUAAAAUCUGGCGGUCUUUGGCCGUCCGAGUUGUAAUUUAGAGAAGCGUCUUCCGCGB